rnacentral:rRNA from 1 species
AUUGAACGCUGGCGGCAUGCCUUACACAUGCAAGUCGAACGGUAACAGGUCUUCGGAUGCUGUCGAGUGGCGAACGGGUGAGUAAUACAUCGGAAUGUGCCCGAUCGUGGGGGAUAACGAAGCGAAAGCUUUGCUAAUACCGCAUAAGAUCUACGGAUGAAAGCAGGGGACCGCAAGACCUUGCGCGAACGGAGCGGCCGAUGGCAGAUUAGGUAGUUGGUGGGUUAAAAGCUUACCAAGCAAACGAUCUGUAGCUGAUCUGAGAGGACGACACGCCACACUGGGACUGAGACACGGCCCAGACUCCUACGGGAGGCAGCAGUGGGGAAUUUUGGACAAUGGGCGAAAGCCUGAUCCAGCCAUGCCGCGUGCAUGAUGAAGGCCUUCGGAUUGUAAAAUGCUUUUGUUCGGGACGAAAAUACUCUUGAUAAUACCUGGGGUCCAUGACGGUACCGAAAGAAUAAGCACCGGCUAACUACGUG